ACGCUGACCAAUCGUGUGCUGCCA
rnacentral:siRNA from 1 species